GCUUCGCUGAAAUGCUGUGUUUGAAAUACAUGAACCAGGGCAGCCCUACUCCCAAACCCCUGUGCACGAGCCACGCGGCUCGAUGGCCUUACUUACCUCUCCUGCCUUUUCUGUAGAUAGCACAACACACACUGGUUGUACGAGGUGGGGUGCUAGUGGCACUCUCCUGGGCAAUGCCAGGCAAGAAGGCUGACAUGCAGCCCUUACUGCUGUGGCUACAUCUUCAGGACCUGUGGAUGGACGUCUGGCCAGCUGCUGCCCGGAAGGGAAAGGUCAUAGCCUUCUGAGGCCCCUCGAGUGUCAGGCAAUAAAUGCACACCUGCAUCUGUUCUGCCAGUGCCCAGUGCCCUCCUGGGGUGUGUAGGAUGGUCCCCUGGAGAAGCUUGGAAUGGAGGUUGAGCAAGCCACUGCAGAGCGUCUCCACAUGUACCCAGCUGGCUCUCUCCAUGUCGCCUCCUUUUGGUCUCUGGACGGGUAAGCACCUCCCUUGUUUGACUGCCAGGUCCUGUUCCAUGCUGGCUUCUGGGUUAAAUGUGGGCUCUGUAGUGAACUGUUUCCAGCCGAGCCACAUCUGUGCUGUGUCCCCUUUCCUCCCCGACCGCAGGCAUCUUCUCUGCUUGGGCACUUUCAUAUGGCUCUCCUGGCUGGCACAUCGUGAGUGUUCUCUCCAAACCUUCUCUACGGCAACUCACAAACAUUUAUUGGGUAAGAGUGGCUCCGAAACACCACAGUUCUCCAUGAUGCUACCCCUAACCUCCACUCUACUCAAGUAUUGUGUUUUUAUCAUCAUUACUAUUCUUUUACAGGAACUUCUUUCAGGGAGUCUCCUCAAUACCCACUUGCAGAUUGAAUGCAACUUUUGUCUGCAAGGAGUUUUCACUAUCAUUCUCAUAACAAUAAGUAUACUCUAAUUUGCAUCUACACUUGGGUCCUGAAAGCUCAGCUCUCCUGUCCCUUGUAGGGGCAGUGGGUGGUGUUGGGACGAAGAGUAGGUUCCAUGACGACUGCCUGGAGGGUGACACUGCAAAGAGUGACAGGAUGAGACAUCAGCAUGAAAGUGCCAGUUCCCACUUACCAGAAUGACAAGACAUCUUGCUGAUGCCUCCAACCAGCUAGGAAGUCUCUCCAGAGGAGGACAUGGUCAAGAUCAGGCUCUUCUCCAAAGAUACAGCUAAUUCCAAACAGC